UGGGGAAUUUUGGGCAAUGGGCGAAAGCCUGAUCCAGCCAUGCCGCGUGUGUGAAGAAGGCCUUCGGGUUGUAAAGCACUUUAAGCGAGGAGGAAUGGCUCUGGGUUAAUACCCUUGAGCAGUGACGUUACUCGCAGAAUAAGCACCGGCUAACUCUGUGCCAGCAGCCGCGGUAAUACAGAGGGUGCAAGCGUUAAUCGGAAUUACUGGGCGUAAAGCGCGCGUAGGCGGUUACGUAAGUUGGAUGUGAAAUCCCCGGGCUCAACCUGGGAAUUGCAUUCAAAACUGCGUGGCUAGAGUGUGGGAGAGGAAGGUAGAAUUCCAGGUGUAGCGGUGAAAUGCGUAGAUAUCUGGAGGAAUACCGAUGGCGAAGGCAGCCUUCUGGCCUAACACUGACGCUGAGGUGCGAAAGCAUGGGGAGCAAACAGGAUUAGAUACCCAUGUAGUCCCUGAGCGGGCUGGCAAGGCGCAU
rnacentral:rRNA from 1 species